rnacentral:rRNA from 1 species
CCUACGGGUGGCAGCAGUGAGGAAUAUUGGUCAAUGGACGAAAGUCUGAACCAGCCAUGCCGCGUGCAGGAAGACGGCCCUAUGAGUUGUAAACUUCUUUUGUAUGGGAGUAAAAGCUUAUACGCGUAUCUGUCUGUAAGUACCGUAUGAAUAAGGAUCGGCUAACUCCGUGCCAGCAGCCGCGGUAAUACGGAGGAUUCGAGCGUUAUCCGGAUUUAUUGGGUUUAAAGGGAGCGUAGGCGGUCGGUUAAGUUAGAGGUGAAAUUCCGCGGCUCAACUUCGGAAUUGCCUCUGAAACUGGUCGGCUUGAGAGUAGUAGAGGUAGGCGGAAUGUAUGGUGUAGCGGUGAAAUGCUUAGAGAUCAUGCAGAACACCGAUUGCGAAGGCAGCUUACCAGGCUACUACUGACACUGAGGCACGAAAGCGUGGGGAGCAAACAGGAUUAGAUACCCCAGUAGUC